rnacentral:rRNA from 1 species
CAGCAGCCGCGGGAAUACGUAGGUCCCGAGCGUUGUCCGGAUUUAUUGGGCGUAAAGCGAGCGCAGGCGGUUAGAUAAGUCUGAAGUUAAAGGCUGUGGCUUAACCAUAGUACGCUUUGGAAACUGUUUAACUUGAGUGCAGAAGGGGAGAGUGGAAUUCCAUGUGUAGCGGUGAAAUGCGUAGAUAUAUGGAGGAACACCGGUGGCGAAAGCGGCUCUCUGGUCUGUAACUGACGCUGAGGCUCGAAAGCGUGGGGAGCAAACAGGAUUAGAUACCCGCGUAGUCCCUGUCUCUUAUACA